UAAUAGGGAACGUGAGCUGGGUUUAGACCGUCGUGAGACAGGUUAGUUUUACCCUACUGAUGAAUUUAUUAUUUAUAUAAUGUAUUGUGACAGUAAUCCAACUUGGUACGAGAGGAUUAGUUGGUUCAGACAAUUGGUACAGCAAUUGGUUGACAAACCAGUGUUGCGAAGCUAAGUCUGUUGGAUAAUGGCUGAACGCCUCUUAAGCCAGAACCCAUGCUGAUUAAACAAUACUAUUUCGUUCUUCUUUGUUUCCACUUUUACUGCUGAUGUAAAAGAGAAGCUAUAUGUAUAACUUCUGUUAUACAAUUAAUCCCAUUGCCAUUUGGAGGCUUGCCUCCUUUUGGUUACUGUAAUUAACAACAAAGAUGAAUUACACAAACUGUAGACGACUUUUUGGCCUCGGGGUGCUGUAAACAUGAAAGUAAACUUUGUUUUACGAUCUGUUGAGGCUUAUCCUCUGUGGUAAAGUGUUC
rnacentral:rRNA from 1 species